rnacentral:rRNA from 1 species
UACGUAGGGGGCAAGCGUUGUCCGGAUUCAUUGGGCGUAAAGAGCGUGUAGGCGGCCAGGUAGGUCGGUUGUGAAAACUGGAGGCUCAACCUUCAGAGGUCGACCGAAACCAUCUGGCUAGAGUCCGGGAGAGGAGAGUGGAAUUCCUGGUGUAGCGGUGAAAUGCGCAGAUAUCUGGAGGAAUACCGGUGGCGAAGGCGGCAUCCUGGACCGAGAUUGACACUGAGGAGCGAAAGCCAGGGGAGCAAACGGG